rnacentral:ncRNA from 1 species
AAAAAAGCCACAGCUGUCGAAAGACAGCGCCGGAAAGCCAAGGGUCUAAGACGAAAGUUAUGACGGCCGGUCGCCGA